rnacentral:rRNA from 1 species
CACGUAGGAGGCGAGCGUUGUCCGGAAUCACUGGGCGUAAAGGGCGCGUAGGCGGCGCGGGCAGUCAACGGUGAAAGCUUGGGGCUCAACCCCGAGUCGGCCGUCGAUACUCCCGUGCUUGAGCACUGUAGAGGCAGGUGGAAUUCCGGGUGUAGCGGUGGAAUGCGUAGAGAUCCGGAAGAACACCGGUGGCGAAGGCGGCCUGCUGGGCAGUAGCUGACGCUGAGGCGCGACAGCGUGGGGAGCAAACAGG